rnacentral:rRNA from 1 species
GGGAUGCGUUCCAUUAGUUAGUUGGCGGGGUAACGGCCCACCAAGACAACGAUGGAUAGGGGUUCUGAGAGGAAGGUCCCCCACAUUGGAACUGAGACACGGUCCAAACUCCUACGGGAGGCAGCAGUGAGGAAUAUUGGUCAAUGGACGAGAGUCUGAACCAGCCAAGUAGCGUGAAGGAUGACUGCCCUAUGGGUUGUAAACUUCUUUUAUAUGGGAAUAAAACGUUCCACGUGUGGAAUUUUGUAUGUACCAUAUGAAUAAGGAUCGGCUAACUCCGUGCCAGCAGCCGCGGUAAUACGGAGGAUCCGAGCGUUAUCCGGAUUUAUUGGGUUUAAAGGGAGCGUAGGUGGAUUGUUAAGUCAGUUGUGAAAGUUUGCGGCUCAACCGUAAAAUUGCAGUUGAAACUGGCAGUCUUGAGUACAGUAGAGGUGGGCGGAAUUCGUGGUGUAGCGGUGAAAUGCUUAGAUAUCACGAAGAACUCCGAUUGCGAAGGCAGCUCACUGGACUGCAACUGACACUGAGGCUCGAAAGUGUGGGUAUCAAACAGGAUUAGAUACCCUGGUAGUCCACACAGUAAACGAUGAAUACUCGCUGUUUGCGAUAUACAGCAAGCGGC